CGGGGUGAGUAAUGUCUGGGAAACUGCCUGAUGGAGGGGGAUAACUGCUGGAAACGGUAGCUAAUACCGCAUAACGUCGCAAGACCAAAGAGGGGGACCUUCGGGCCUCUUGCCAUCGGAUGUGCCCAGAUGGGAUUAGCUAGUAGGUGGGGUAACGGCUCACCUAGGCGACGAUCCCUAGCUGGUCUGAGAGGAUGACCAGCCACACUGAAACUGAGACACGGUCCAG
rnacentral:rRNA from 1 species